UACGAAGGGGGCUAGCGUUGCUCGGAAUUACUGGGCGUAAAGCGCGCGUAGGCGGCUUUGUAAGUCAGAGGUGAAAGCCUGGAGCUCAACUCCAGAACUGCCUUUGAAACUACAUCGCUAGAAUCAUGGAGAGGUUAGUGGAAUUCCGAGUGUAGAGGUGAAAUUCGUAGAUAUUCGGAAGAACACCAGUGGCGAAGGCGGCUCACUGGCCCGGUACUGACGCUGAGGUGCGAAAGCGCGGGGAGCAAACAGG
rnacentral:rRNA from 1 species